CACGCAGGCGGUCUUGCCAGUCAGGGGUGAAAGCCCGAGGCUCAACCUCGGAACUGCCUCUGAUACUGUAAGACUUGAGACUAGGAGAGGGUGGUGGAAUUCCCAGUGUAGAGGUGAAAUUCGUAGAUAUUGGGAGGAACACCAGAGGCGAAGGCGGCCACCUGGACUAGAUCUGACGCUCAGGUGCGAAAGCGUGGGGAGCAAACA
rnacentral:rRNA from 1 species